rnacentral:rRNA from 1 species
UACGUAGGUGGCAAGCGUUGUCCGGAUUUACUGGGCGUAAAGAGCGCGCAGGCGGUCGUUCAAGUCGCGUGUGAAAGCCCCCGGCUCAACUGGGGAGGGUCACGCGAUACUGAUCGACUCGAAGGCAGGAGAGGGUAGUGGAAUUCCCGGUGUAGUGGUGAAAUGCGUAGAUAUCGGGAGGAACACCAGUGGCGAAGGCGACUACCUGGCCU